CAGCCGUGGGGUUUCAUUCAUUCCGGAGAUGUCACGGGGGGGUUUUGGAAUGUGUGUCCCUAACUUCCUGAUUUUCUGCCAUAUUCCAGCCCACCUGGCUAAUGCAAUGCGGAGUGACAGGGGAGCACCUCGGGUCUUCACGCACCUCGCUCUUCAGGCUCUCUCCUAGCUUUGCCUGUGCGUGGAAAUGUCAACAAGGAAGAUCAAUGGAGGCAAAAAAACAGGAGAACCCAUAAAUCCCGUUGAACCUGUCACGGCUGCCAAAUUAUGCUCUGAUAAAGCUUUUGGUGGCUAACGAUAUGGCCGUUCACCUGCAUGGACGCGACUGGGAGGGGGCUUUCUGGAGAGCAUCCGGCCCACGGUGGAGACACUUGUCAGAGAGUGUUAUCCGAAGCCUCUUUGUCUCUAACGAAGGGUGAAGCUUUGAAUGUGAUUAUUUCUAAACAAAUAAAUAAUAAGGAUAAUUUAAAAAUAAACAAAGAUCUGGAUUUAAAGGCUACUUAUUGUCCCAGGACCAAGAUUAAUGAGUUCUGGCCAGAAGAUUUCCCACCCGUAGGACUUAACGCUUUCUUCAACCAGGCUUUUAAUAUCAAGUAUCAAAUAGCCACCUGUGAAUGUAUAGCGGGUGUGCCAAAUGCCCAUGGGAUAAGUGAGUCAGGACCGUGUGGCUCCAUCUUUCCCGUGG